ACCCCAGGAUGGACAAGGCCACCCACCGAGUUUAAGGAUAUCAGUAAGUGUAGAAGAAGAAACUUAUGAAGAUUUCCCUAGUAAUAGGAAGAAAAUUGGGAGUGGCCUAAUAUUGGAAUCGAGCUACCAUAUAAUAGCUUAAAUUAUAGUAUGGAGAAGCAUUAUUAAUGAUUGAUCGGGCCCAAGUCCCCAUAAAUGGGGCAUCAGGGAGGUUAAGAGCCCCAUUUGGCCUAAACCCUAUUGCAUCACAAGGCAUUGGCAAUGAGUUAGGUUUUUUGGGAAUGCAGCCCUAAUAAGGACAUAAAUUCAAUCCAAUGUUAAAUAUAGGCGAGAGAUCGAUAGUGAAUAAAUACUACGAGGGAAUGAUGAAAAUGACUUUUAAAAUAUAGUCAAAGUGUGCUUGAAAUUAUUAAGAGGAAAGCAGAUGGGGGCGUCGUUGCAUCUUGGAAUGAAGUGAAAUGGUUGUGGCUUGUCCACUACUCUACUUAAGAUGUUGAUCGUUGUAGGCAUUCCAGACCUAGGUGAUUGACACUCUAGGAGGCACCAUCAUGGCGGUCGGCCAACAUAGUAGUUAUGUAUAAGGAGAGACUUUUAAGGGAUCUCACAUGCCCAUCACAAUGGCUAGUGAUCUUCCCAUUUGACCCAUCUUAUAACAUGAACCAAGGGGACUAACAUGCGUGUGAGUCAACAGGUGAUGAAACUUGAUGGGCGCAAGGAAGUUGAUGUGUGGGAUCCUCUUUUAUAGGUGCACCACCGAUCAGCCCAGGUCUCCUAUGAAGGGUUUAAGUGUAUGCAUGUGUGUUAGGUUCCAAAAGAUGGUGAACUAUGCAUGAGCAAGGCAAAUCCAAAGGAAACUCUUGUGGAGGCCUGGAAUGAUACUAACAUGCAAAUCAUUUAUAUGGUUAAGAUAUAAGGGUGAAAGUCUAAUCAAACCAUCUAGUAUCUAGUUCCCUCUAAAGUUUUCCUCAGGAUAGCUGGAGCCCCAUUUGGAGUUCUAUCAAUUAAAGCUAAUGAUUAGAGGCAUCAGGGGUACAAUGCCCAUGACAUAUUAUCAAACAUUUAAGAGGUAGGAUGGCUAGGCUGCUUUGAUGAGUCGUGCCUCUAAAUUGAGAGCUCCAAGUGGGCAAUUUUUUAUAAGCAGAACUGACAAAUACGGGAUGAUUCAAAAGCUAGGUUACAUUGCCCAAUUGCGUGCUAACUUAAAACCCAUAAAGGGUGUUGGUUGAUUAAGACAUCAAGAGGAUGGUCAAGGAAGUCAAAAUCCACUAAGCUGUGUGUAACAACUCACCUACAAAAUCAACUAGCCCCAAACUAAGAUGGCACUUAAGUGCGUGACCCACACACUCUUAUCAGGGUAAUGUCUAGGCCUAGAUGAGUAGGAGGGCAUGGUGGUCAUCAUAAAACUAGGGGUGUGAGCAGGUACAAAGUGGUCAUUAGUGCGAGUCUUAGUGGUAGUCAUAAAUAUUAAAAUGAGAGUUUUAAAGUUUGAAUGAGGGAAUGGUUCCAUAAGAACAAAACUUAAACAUGGGUUAGUGAUCCUAAGAGAUGGGGGAUGUCUGUAAGAGAGCGUCACUUCACAUGAGCUUUGAAAGGGAGUCAGGUUAAAAUUCUUGAGCAAUGAUGUGGUGGCUGAUAACUAUAUUAUGUAGUCUAAAGACACAUACGGGGGCCUCGGAAAGAGUUAUCUUUUCUACUUAAAAACAUUUUUACCUAAAGGUAGAGUAUAAUAGUUGGAAGACCUUUGUAUGUUGAAUAACUUCUGGUGCGGCCCUAGUGGCCCCUAAAAAUUCUAAGGGCUAAGUGCUAGCCAUGCCCGAUCAUACUCAUAACUACAUCAGGUUUCCAAGGUGAAUAGCCUAUAGUUAAUAGAGCAAUAUAGGCAAGGGAAGUCAACAAAAUGGAUUCAUAACUUUAGGAAAAUGAUUGGCUCUAAAGGUUGGGCACUGGGGUCCUAAUCCCAAAUCCACCGUCUAUUGGUAAACUUCUUAAGCUACACUUGUAGUGAGAGUGGGCUGUGACAUGUGAGCUGGGGGUAAAUUGGGAAUGGCACACUUGGGGACCAUCCUCAGGAGAUAAAUAACCAACUCAAAAUUGGUAUGAUCAAGGGGAAUCUGACUAUUUAAUUAAAAAACCCAUUACGAGAUCCCAGCAAAUUCUCACAAAAUGUGAUUUCUACCAUGUGUACUGAAUGCCAAAGUGAAGAAAUUCCACCAUACACAGAUAAAUGAUGGGAGUAACUAUGACUCUCUUAAGUUAUACAAAGGCCUUAUAGUCUAAUUAGUAAUAUGUAUGAAUGGAUUAACAAGAUUCCCACUAUCCCUAUCUAUAAUCUAGCGAAACCAUAGCCAAGCGAAUGGGCUUAGCAGAAUUAGCAGGAAAAGAAAAUCCUAUUGAGCUUGACUCUAGUCUAACAUUAUGAAAUAACUUGAGAGAUGUAGAAUAAGUGGGAUUUGGCUCUCCAAAAUACUACUACUUUUAACAUUAUUUUAUUUAUUCCAUGAGAUAGGUGAGGCCUAGCCCCUUCUUUUGGCUUUUAAGUCUCAUCUCAGUGGGUUGAUCAAGGCAUAAGACAUUAUCAAGUAGGGAGUUUGGCUUGGGUGGAACAUAAGUUAAAAGAUAACAUAGGAGUCCUAAGAUGAGCUCAAUGAGAACAAAAAUCUAAUAUGGAAAAAAGGUUAAAAGCUUGUUUGAUUUUAAUUUUAAAUAUGAAUACAAACUGUGAAUGCAUGGCCAAUCAAUCCUUUAGUCAUUCAAAAUUUGAAACUAGAGGUGUCAAAAAAGAUACCACAGGGAUAAAUGACUUGUCGCAGUGAAUCAUUCAUAGCAAUGUUACUUUUGAUUCUUCGAUGUUGGUUCUUCUAUCAUUAUGAAGCAUAAUUCACCAAGUGCUGGAUUGUUCACCCUCCAAUAAGGAACAUGAGUUGGGUUUAAACAAUCAUGAGACAGGUUAGUUUUACCCUAUUGAUGAUCAUGCAGUGAUAAUAAUUAAACCUAGUAUAAGGAAAACCAUUGAUUAACAAAAUUGGUCAUCACAUUUGGCUGAAAGGCUAGUGGCACAAAGCUACCAUGUGCAGGACUAUGACUGAGCAUUUCUAAGUUAGAAUCCAUGCUAAAAAUAUGGUGCCUAAGCCCAUCAUUUUCCUGCCAACCAGAAGUACGGGAUUUGGCCCCCAAGGGUAAUGGUAUCAGAUGGUUUCGUGUCGUCAUCAAGAACACUAUCAUGAAGGCCUAGAAAUGUAGUUUUGAAUGGAUGAUGGGUUGAAUCCUUUGCAUAUGUCAUAAAUUUAUGACUAGGUGUUAUAUAUGGAAGAGUGGCCUUUACUGCCACGACCAACUUAGAUAUGGCCCUAUGU
rnacentral:rRNA from 1 species